rnacentral:rRNA from 1 species
CCUACGGGAGGCAGCAGUGAGGAAUAUUGCUCAAUGGGCGAGAGCCUGAACCAGCCAAGUCGCGUGAGGGAUGAAGGAUCUAUGAUUGGUAAACUUCUUUUAUAUGGGAGUAAAGUGAGGAACGUGUUCCUUUUUGUAUUUACCAUAUGAAUAAACAUCGGCUAACUCCGGUCCAGCAGCCGAGGUAAUACGGAGGAUGCGAGCGUUAUCCGGAUUUAUUUGGUUUAAAGGGUGAGUAGGUGGUUCAUUAAGUCAGCGGUGAAAGUUUGUGGCUCAAACAUAAAAGUGCCGUUGAAACUGGCUGACUGGAGUAUAUUUGAGGUAGGCGGAAUGCGUGGUGUAGAGGUGAAAUGCAUAGAUAUCACGAAGAACACCGAUUGCGAAGGCAGCUUACUAAACUAUAACUGACACUGAAGCACGAAAGCGUGGGGAUCAAACAGGAUUAGAUACCCUAGUAGUC